CAAGGUCCCUGUGGGCGUACCCCUUGCAUGGGGAUUGUCAUAUAAUGCCAAGUGUGGCUCCCAUUAAAGAGAGAUUAGUUUACCCCUUCAUGAAGUCUUGGCUCAUGUUUGGGGGAUUGGAGAACUACAUACACUCUAGGGAUUGCUAUAUCACAAUACUCCCCUUAUAAGAGCUUUUGCUGCUACGCUCUCUGGAUUAGGAGAGGUCUAC